UGCAGAAGAACCAGUUUUGCUCGGCUUUGGCUUUCUGAGAGAAGAAAUGACUGCUGGAGAAAUUCAGCUGGGCAGCAAGUCCCUGCUUGGGCUGGGUUGAUGAUUUGAGCAUGGGAUAGGAAACAGAAAGCAUCACUGCGUGGGAUCUCGUUGGGGCGCCCUGGGCGACGGAAGGACUUGGCUCUGAAAAAAAGGAGAGAGAUUUGUUCCCAACAAUUUAUGCAGAAAAACAUCCUCUGAGUGGGGCGUCAUUUAUUUCUGCAGUGGAAACCAUCCGCUUCUCGCUUUCAGCCCAGGUUUACAAAAUUAAAAAAAAAAAAGCAUUAAGUGCAAUUAUUAAGCCACAUCUCACCUUCUUCCUCAGACUCUGCUGACUGAGGCCGUUCCCAGGCACGGGGCUGGCUGGAGGAAGAGCACAUCAGGGCAUUCGACCAUCCGCGAGCGCUGCUCUGGGUAACGGGUGAAAACUAACACUGGUAAAAUUACUUUGUGCAAAGCUGGAAUGAACUUUGCUUAAAAACUGCUUGAAAACUGAACUUUUGCCAAAAUGAACUUUUGCCAAACAUCAUGUCAGCAAAAAGCAACAGGGAAGGGCGGUUAUUGUUUUCCUAUUUUGGUACUUUUCAGCUAUCUUAUGUUUCCUACUUUCUGUAUGGGGUUAACACAGGAGAAAAAUGCUGCAGCUGCUGCCAGUAGAAACACAGAGAGUGAUGGAGGUGGAACUGGGAAGGCUGAGAUGGCCUGGGGGGGCAGAUGGGGCCGAGCGGGGAGAUUCCUCGCAGAGCCAUCCUGCCCUGGCGAGGACAGAGUUAAGCCGCAGCAUUGCUGGAGGAGCUCAGGUGUGGCUCUGCUGUUUCCUUCCUGGCCUCCAGGAUUACAGCACCGCUUGCCAGGCUUUGGGGAGAGGUUAGGAAAUGUUUGUGCCAGGAGAACUGCCCCCAAACCUGGGGCUGGAGGGCAGCACCUUCACUGGGGACAACGCUGGCCUGGAGGACAACGUCGGUGGGGAAGGUGAAGCGGAUGGUGCACCCAGAUUUGCCCUGUGCAGGCUGGUUUUGAACAGCUCUGAGAAUGCAGCCAGAGCUCAGGAGAGCAAAAAAGAUGAGAUUUACUGUGACUGCUGCUCGGCGGAGGAGGAGGUGGCGGUGGUGACAUCCUGCCUCGCCUGCCCGGAGCAUCGCCAGGCUCUCAUGCAGCCCCUCUGAGGACACCACGCUGCCGACCCACGGGUUAGAGCACUUAACUCUAUAACCAGAAACUGGGUCGUGAGUGAACGGCCCGGGUAAGCGAAGGGUAAAUAUUUUUAGGUGUAACCCUAAAAGCGAGUUUGAUAGGUAAGUGGGAAAGAGGGAGGUUUGAAAAACGACACUCUGUCCUUUCUCUCUAUGGAUUUACUUUCUCCCCUUGGGAGGAGGAGGGCUCUGCUUCCAAAACAAGUGGUCAUUGCCAGUGUGGGCAUGGAAAGUUUAAUAAAACUUUUGAUCCUUGUUUCAAAGCUACUGCAGCCACAGCUGCCUCCGUGCUGGUGAGUUUUCCAUUUCUGAAAAGGCAUUGGACGUGCCAGUGUUUGCAGGAGACAUGCCCUGGUGUGGAGAGGGGCCAAUGGCAGCAGGAGACGACAAGAAGGACGGUACAACAGGUGACGUCUGCACCAUAGGUGUCUGUCUCAGAUGUGGAAAGCCUCAUGGGAGGGUUUAGGCUGCUGCUGGUGGCAGUGGGGCCAGCCCAGCGGGAGGCAGUGGCCUUUCUGGAGGAGGAGAGCGUGGCUAUGAACGGGAUAAAGACCCACUUAAAGCACAAGUGAGCCUUCAUUGAGGAUAACCUCAAACUGGAGAAGAUGCCAGCUCACACCAAGUGUCUCUUCUUAAAAGCAGGGUAGUUUGAGAUGUGUCCCAUUACAGUAGCUGGAGGGAUGUGGAGUCGGGAGAGCAGUGCCUGCCCUGACCACCGUAACGUGCCCUUCCCACCUGCAAAAUGCCUCCAAGGUGCAGUAUCACAGCCUGAAACAGGUGAAUCCUUAUGUUUAUUUUGUGGCUAGGAGUGCUGUGAAGUCAGGAAGAGCUCUGGGGUGGAUGUUCUUCCCAGCGUUUACAUCGGGCUGAAGAACAAACUGUCUCGAAUCAGCAUGUGAUGCAGAGCCAGCAACAAUGACAAAGUGACCAACACUGAUCCAUGGGAACAGCUGUACCCAGAUCAUCCUGAAGGAACUGGACAUAGACACCAGGUGAUGUCUGACAAGAGUUUGUACUUUAGCUGUUUUGAGGUUGAGAUAUCUGGGGCUGACAUUUACCUUGGCAUGAGGUACAGAAGCAUCGACCAGGCAGGUUCAGAAAGCAAUAGCUGCACCUUGAGGAACAACUUCUCCUGGAGCACCCUGCGGAAUGGGAAAGGGUUUUCUGCAUGGCCCAGCGAUGUGGAGAUGCCCCUCAAAGUCUUUGGAAAGAAAACUGCCAGGAUAAUGUGACUGGGGGAAGGUGCUGAGAAGACCCCAGCCUCCUUGCCUUCCUUUGGGGAGCUUCUCCCUUGAAAGCAUCUGAGUCAGAAGAACUGGCCAGUGCUCAGGUUGUGGUGUGAUGCCAAUGCUGUUGCUGCGGGUAGC